GGCUGGUCCAAAGGUAGUGAGUUAUCUCACUUGAUUGUUCCCAGUCAGUUACAGAUUGAACUCCUUGUUCUACUCAUUUCCCCUUCUCACUACUGUACUUGACUAGUCUUUA
rnacentral:Y_RNA from 1 species